UACGACUACAUAUCAGGCAUAUCAAUAAGCGGAGGAAAAGAAACUAACUAGGAUUCCCUUAGUAACGGCGAGUGAAGCGGGAAGAGCUCAAAUUUGAAAUCUUCAAGGUUCUACCUUGACGAAUUGUAGUUUAAAGAAGUGUUUUCUGUUGGAGUUUUGGUAAAAGUUCUUUGGAAUAGGACAUCAUAGAGGGUGAGAAUCCCGUAUUUGACCAUUUACUUCCAGCUGUGUGAUACACUUUCAACGAGUCGGAUUGUUUGGGAAUGCAGUCCAAAAUGGGUGGUAAAUUUCAUCUAAAGCUAAAUAUUGGCGAGAGACCGAUAGCGAACAAGUACCGUGAGGGAAAGAUGAAAAGAACUUUGAAAAGAGAGUUAAACAGUACGUGAAAUUGUCAAAAGGGAAGCGUUUGACACCAGUGAUUGUUUUCUCGAAAAUCAAUUAAAAAGAGUUGGAUUUUGUAUUGUUAAGACCUUAUCAGCUUACUGUACUUUUUUCUUGCUCUUUUUAAUGCACUUUUCGUUUAACAAGUCAACAUCAAUUUCUUUUGUUGUAAAAGGGUCAUUGGAAGGUGGCUUUCACUUCGGUGAAAGUGUUUAUAGCCUUAUACUUCUACAAUCGGAGAGAUUGAGGUCUGCAGCGUAGAUCCUUCGGGGUUAGAUACAUUAGAUGCUAAGUUAUAGUUUUUCAUAGACAACUUGUUGACUAUGAUUAGUCAUGUAGCUUACUCGUUUGCGCUAUUUUACCUACGCUUAGGAUGUUGAUCUCUCACAGUCGAGC
rnacentral:rRNA from 1 species